rnacentral:rRNA from 1 species
UACAGAGGUCUCAAGCGUUGUUCGGAUUCAUUGGGCGUAAAGGGUGUGUAGGUGGCGCGCUAAGUCGGGUGUGAAAUUUCGGAGCUUAACUCCGAAACUGCAUUCGAUACUGCCGUGCUUGAGGACUGGAGAGGAGACUGGAAUUUACGGUGUAGCGGUGAAAUGCGUAGAUAUCGUAAGGAAGACCAGUGGCGAAGGCGGGUCUCUGGACGGUUCCUGACGCUGAGGCACGAAGGACAGGGGAGCAAACGGG